rnacentral:lncRNA from 1 species
UCCUUGCAUGCAAUCCCCUACUGCCCUUGCCCCUUUUGGGUAAGGUAGUCUUCCACUAUCUUUCCUAGUUAGUUGGCCAAGGGCGUCCCAUUAAACCCUUGUGUUGGCACGUGUUUCUCAAGUUAAGCUCCAUGUUCCAAUUAACAUUAAUGAUCUUGACAUGAACAUAAAUAGAAUAACAAAAUAAUUGAAACAUGGAUAUAAUAAAAUAUUAUCCCAAAACCAUGUAAAGCAAUAGCAACACGACCCAUGUGAUUCAGGGAUAACAAGGUAAAGAGAUAAACAAUCUAGGGUGACCUAUCGGGUCCCAUCAAAAUUAAGCCUAUGCAUGGUAAAUGAUUAUAAAGAACAUUAUUGGUUAACAAAAGUGGUCAAGGGCACAACUUGCCUUCAAUGAGCUCCUGCUCAGCUACUUCUAUCUUCUGGUCACCAGGAUCCUCAGUCACAGGUUGUUCUACUCGCCACAAUAAAAACAAGCACAAUAUAUAGGAAAAAUUAACAUCACACCAAACAUAUAAACAAAAUACAUAAUUGUCCGUUUGUUUGAUUGGAAUUGGGUUGAAUUGGAAUUUAAUUCUUGGGUGGGCCUGUUUGGCAAGUUAUAGAAUUGGAAACUAACUUUCCAUCGAUUUCUUGGGCUGGAAUCAGAAGCCUGCAAAACUUUCCUACCCUAAAACGAGGAAACAAAUUCCUCUCCUCGACCCGCCGUCUAGAGCUGCGCUACACGCCCGCGUCGCCUCCUCCUCGGACUUUCCCGUCCCCGAGCUGCAUCGGCUGCAUCUGUGAUUCCUGCGGUGGACGGAAGAGCUGCAUCGGCUGUUCGUCGAGGCCUUCUUCUCCGAUCCAGAAAAAGGUACAAGCAUGUUCACCGUUCGUCCCAUCCAUGUCCAUGCUGCGCGACGCGAGUGACCCAUAGCCUGCGGCCGUACGCGCGCGGCGUCGCCUGACUGGUGAACGAAUCAAGAGCGGGACCGGGGGGCGGUGAGUGGUGCCGGGAUCAGCCGCGGCAGCAGGACAGGGCAUCGGUUCCUCCUGUCCCCUGCUCAUGUGCCCUCUGCAUCUGUGUGUCGUCUCUUCCGCGCGCGCGUCAACGGGCCGCCGGCAGGGUACCACCCGGCCACCACCACCCCGAUCCCUGACGCCCCAUGCGUGCGGCUUGUUCUUCCCUGUAGGACUUCUGCUAUAGUUAAGAAAGUACCGCAACAGCACUCCACAACUGCAGACACAUGUGACUCGCAUCCCGCAACAGCAAGCUUCUAUGGAGCUUAUUUCAUUCUUAAUUAUUAUUUGCAGCCCAAGCAUUUAUUUUUCCUACUGCUGAAUUUAUCAAUAGCACUGCACAUGUUCACGUAACACUUUGAAGAUAAUAAUAAGAGUAAGAAAGGCAGUAAUAGUGAAUGAUAGAACUCCAGAUCUAGUUUGCACAACAGUUCAUGUUGUAAUAGAGAUUAUAUUGAUGUUGUCUUUUCAAUACCAAGACGGCAUGAAUCAGGUUCAUUAUAACUGUAUAACAUCAGGCUUACCAGCAAAGUUUGACCACAACUAUCCCAGAAAACAAGAAAUGGAGAAACACAACCGAAGUGAUUGUUAGAGCAGCAUGUGAGGCACUCCCUCCACGUUUCUUUCAAACAGUUGUGUCAUAUUCCACAUUUCUUUGCCAGUACAUUAUUGAGCCUUGAGUUUAUCCAUGUUUCUUUCAAAUAGUUGUGCAUUCAAUCUUACAAACUGUAUAUACAUGUUUGUUCAAGUGUGCUUAUGAUGUAUGGUUUAUCUGUUGUAGAUGCCUCACAACAACUUAGAAUUGGUUAGAACAAAUUUGGGGGAAAUGAGAACCGAGUUGUGGUUGGGUUAAUUGAACUGUUGUUGGGUGUGUUGAUGUUGCUGUCUUAGUUUAUGUUGGGUGAAUUGAACAUCACAUUGAGUAGCAAGUAAUGUGUUCCAAUGAUAUGUAGCCAUUUGAGACAAAUCUGCAUUAUUAUUACUAUUCUCGUGAUGCAUGCUGCUUGAUAAAUUGUAGGGUGAAAACUUGUCUCUAAUCUAUUGCACAUGUAUAUGACUCAUCAAGACUCAUGUGCACACAAGAAACAUGUGUAUUUUGUCGUGUACAAGUUGAUGUGGUUACUUCCCUCCAAAUAUGUAAAUUCCAUAUAUAACUAUCCAAACAGGAUAUUGAAUUUGAUUCAUGGAAAAGAAUUCCAUUAGCAUCCAAACAAAAAAAUUGAAUUGAAUCAAAUUCUAAGGAAUUACUUUCUUUAGGAAUCUAAUAUCUAGAAUGUUAUUCAUGAAAUGAGUUUCAUUUCUUAGGAAACAAACGGGCCCUAAUACUAAAUCUACACAUUAAAAUAAAAUCCUAGGAACAGGAAUCAUAAUUUUUGGAGUUAUAGAUUUUGAGAUAUGAAUUUCUGAAGGUUUUAUGUGCUUAAAAUAGGGUUAAAUGAGAAAUUAUUUUUCUUACUCUUUUCAUGACAAAACAGAGACUCUAAAUGACAUAAUAAUAUUACAAAAUUUUAGAAAUUGGAAUGAGUCAAUUUGGACUAAAAAUGGAUUUUCUACAAAUUAAACAAGUUUCUGCAAUUAAAUUAAUACUAAAAAUCUAUUUCUAAAUUCAUUUCUCUGAUUUUUCUUAUUCUCAGGACUGGGCCUCAAAUCCUGGAAAGUCCAGGGGUCUCAGGGUAAUAUUUCUAAGACACAAGGAACACUGCUAGUUGGACUGCAGGUUGAUUUCUUGUUUACAAGAGGGCUCUUUAGCAAAUGUGUUGGCCGAAGGGGUACGCAGAGAUCCUGGCCGUUGGAUUAGCGAUUCACUGCGGGGAUUAAAUCCAUUUAUUUUUCGAACCGGUAUCUACUGGUGACCACUAGAUCCAAAAUCAACGGCCAUGAUUCAAAAUCUCCCUGAUCUAAUCCUAGCCAUAGGUUCUACAUCUGACGGCUGGCGUGUCUUCUCCUAUCCCGAGCACCCCAGGCGGUGGGGCUGGCCCCACGGCCGUGCAGCCCGGUGAGCUACCCUGCCUAGCGAUUCAACGCACUAGAGCCCGACCCGAAAGGUGCUACACAACACUAAGUUCAUGGUGAAACAAAGGGUAGGACCUUACUUGCAAACGUGCAGCAUGGUGCCCCGGCGUCGUGCAUGGUGGCUCGGCGGUGAAGGAGGACCUUUAGAGAAGAAUUUCGAUGGCUCAAACCAAGCUCAGGAUGUUCACGCCCUCACACAGCGUGCCCCAGCGAUGCACCCUGGCCACCUUGGGACUUUAAACAGCAGUCAUCGAUCUGAUCGACGAUGGCGGCUCCUGCUGGCUUCCCCAUUGGUUUCCGCCCAUGCACGAGAUUGUGGCCGAGACUUGGGAUUUCAGGUCUACUCUAUCGCUU